GUCCUUUCAGCAAUAUCUUGCUAGUGUAUGCAAUGGUGUCAGUGUUUGGAGGCUGAUUAUGGGAUGGAUCCCCGGGUAUGGCAGUCUCUAGAUGGCCCAUCCUGUCCUUGUUCUUAAUAGCUGAAUAGUAUUUCAUUGUGUAAAUGAACUACAUUUUCUGUAUUCAUUCUUCAGUUGAGGGAAAUCUGGGUUGAUUCUGGUUUCUGGCUAUUAUAAAUAAGGCUGCUAUGGACAAGCUGGAGCAUAUGUCCUUGUGGUAUGGUAGGCCAUCUUUGGUUAUAUGCCCAGAAGCUAUAUAGCUGGGUCUUCAAGUCGAACUAUUUCCAGUUUUCUGAGGAACUGCUAGGUUGAUUUCCAGAGUGGAUUUUUUGAUUUGCAAUCCCACCCACAAUAGAACUGUUCUCCUUGCUCCACAUCCUUGCCAGCAUGUGCUAUUUUGUGAGUUUCUGAUCUUACACAUUCUGACUGGUGUAAGAUGGAAUGUCAGAGAUAUUUUGAUUUACAUUUCCCUAUGAUUAUGAACUUAGAACUUUUCUUUAAGUGCUUCUUGGUCAUUUGAGAUUCCUUUGUUAAGAAUUCUGUUUAGCUCUGUACCCCAUUUGUAAUCGGGUUAUUUGGCUUAUUUUAUUUUAUUUUUAUUUUAUUUUUUGAGUCUAACUUAUUUAAUUAUUUAUAUACUUUGGAUAUUAGCCCUCUAACAGAUGCAUGGUUAGUGAAGAUCUUUUCGCAAUCUGUAGGUUGCUAUUCUGUCCUAUUAACAGUAUCCUUUGCCUUACAGAAAGAACCUUUUCAGUUUCAAAAGGUUCCAUUUAUCAAUUGUUGAUCUUAGAUCCUGAGUCACUGGUGUUCUGUUCAGGAAAAUUUCACCUGUGCCAAUGUGUUUGGGGCUAUUUCUCACUUUCUCUUCUAUUAGAUUCAGUGUAUCUGGUUUUAUGUGAAUGUCUUUGAUUCACUUGGACUUGAGCUACAUGCAGGGUGAUAAAUAUGGAUCAAUUUGCAUUUUUCUGCACGUAUACUGUCAGUUAGGCCAGCACCAUUUGUUGAAGAUGCUUUCUUUUCUCCAGUGUAUGGUUUGGGUUCUUUUAUAAAGGUCAAGGUCCAAUAGAUGAGUGGGUUUAUUUAUGGCUCUUUGAUUCUAUUCCAUUGAUCAAACCAUCUGUCUCUGUACCAAUACAAAACAUUUGAAAGUGAUGUGGUCUAUCUUUGUAUGUGCCUUUGAAAUGACUGUUCAGAGAUGGUUUUGGGUUUUGUGCAAUGUCUUUCAGAUUCUGGUCCUUACCUUUUAGUUUCAAACAAUGAGGUUUGCAAGUAAAACUCUCCUUUCAAGGGCCACUCUGUUCAGCAAGGAAAACUGAUGAAUGUCUGAUAUUUUCAUAUCAAACACAUGGAGGAUAUGGGAUAGUGCUUUCAUCCCAAGAAAACUUGAAAGGCCUGGAGAUGCAAUAUGUCUUAGGUCUAGAAAGGCUUGCUGUUUAGUUGGAUGUAAAGUGCUAAGACUGCAUCACAGAUACUAAUUAGAAGACUGAGGAUUUUAAGAAUUUGGAGCAUCAUAAAUGGGAAAAUCUGAGGUAAUUAAUGAACCAAAUAUAUAAGAUUAUAAUGAAUAAAUCAUAUUAACUUGCACAUGUUUUAGUGUUUGGUGAUAAAAUUAAUUCCAAGAACUACUUAGUGUCUAGAAAUGAAAAUAUUGGAUAUUUUUUGCAUCAAAAACUAAGUACAAAUAAAAUAUUUAAAGCACUUCAAAUAAUCUUUACAUAAUUCCUUCCCUCAGCAAAUGUUUAUGCAUUUUCUAGGUGGGAAUUAUCUUAAUUCCUACUUAUAUCAG
rnacentral:lncRNA from 1 species